UCCCCGAUAGCUCAACGGUAGAGCAUCUGACUGUUAAUCAGAGGGUUCGUGGUUCGAAUCCACGUCGGGGAGCCA
rnacentral:tRNA from 1 species